AUUCUAUCUAUGUCCUUCAUUUAACAACGUCGAAGCCAUCGAACAAGCGGCGGUCGGUCGACUGUUCCCUUGUACUUAGGGCCCUCCAUUUCUAAACUCUUUGCCGCUGAGGCCGCUUCGCGAAAGAGGUAUUCGCACUUGGCCUAAAUCUGAUGUCAUUUUCUGUAGAUGACAUGCUCGCCUUGUGGACCAUGGUCCUACUAAGGCAAUUUUUGAUAGUGUUAGGAUUUCUGAUUUGUUAGAAAUCUCUAUUCAACCCCCUAUUUUUGACCCAGUACUUUUUCCAACCGCUUUAAGUUUUUGGUCUUCCGAUUAUAAUACUUUUGUUUUUCCUCUUGGUCCUAUGUCCAUUACCUUAAGGGAUGUUGAGGCCCUAAUAAAUUUGCCACCUUUGGGCGAUACCAUUUUUCCUGGUAUUUUGAUUUCUGGUGUCGCCCCAAAAUUUGAUAAAAAACUCACCGAGUCUUAUUCAACCCUACAAACCUGUCAUAACCACUCGAGCGCUGAGCCUUCCCAUACUGAGCGUGUGGCUUUUCUUCAGGUUUGGCUUUGUAAAUACAUUUUGUGUGUGCCAAGCCUGAAGCCCUCCAUGAGCUAUUUACCCAUAGCGCACGAGUUGGCGCGUGGUAGGCCUCUAAAUUUGUGUUCUUUCUUUUUAGCUGCCCUCUAUAGAGGCAUUGCUUCUCUUCAAUCCCAAUUGAAGAAUGGUGCAUCUCCCACUGGUAGUGGGCCUCUUUGGUUCACUCAGAUGUGGUUGAGAGCCUAUUUUCCAUCGCUUGGUGCUCCAUCCUUUUCCACUCCUUCUGCUAGUUGCUAUGGGCUAGUCAUUAAUCCCCCGACUCCUGUAAAUAUGUCCAGAAGGGACAUUUUUUCAUUCUUUUAUGCUUUGGAUUCAAUCCCUUCCUUCUUUCCUUUUCCUCCCUUUUUGACUCCGGAUUAUGUGCAACCUCCAUCCACUAUGGAUAGUGCGAGCACUUCUCUGUUCAUUUGGAUUCAGUUUUUGACUGGGAGGGAGUUGUUUCAUGAUAUUUUAACUGGAACCAAUGCUAAAGCUGGGGUUGAAAUAUACGCUCCCCAAUUUUUUGCUCGCCAACUUGGCUUUGGCCAAACUUGGCCCGUUCUUCCUUGCUAUUCAAGAAAUUUAAUAGACCGCUUCCACACCAUUAAUAAGGCAGAGGCAGAAGCUAUAAAUGCUCGCAAUAUUCUUUUGACGAGCAACUUUUCAUUAGCCCCUUUUAAUCCUAGCCGUGCCAUCCAUUCCCUUUUUGAAUGACUCUGACCGUCAGUGAAGCGCAGAUUGUUUGCGACUGAUGCCAAUCAUACUUUCCAUUCACUGGACCAGCCAAACAUUUCUUCCACCUCUCCUGUUUUGGUCACUCCUAUGUCCAUUAGGAGUCCCUCUUCCCCUGCUCGUGCUAAACAGUCUGCUCGUCCAUCGACUUUUCUUCCUGCCAAGCCCACUGCAGCUAAAAGUGCCCCCAACCGCAAACGGACACAGCAUCUCCUAUUUUGGAGGAUGAUGCUGAUGAUGAUGAUGACACCCCUCUCGUCUUCAGGAGGAAGGUAAUUAAAUUGGUUUACUCACAAGCAUACAUUUCCAUACUUGAAACUUUUCUAUGUGCUGAUAGUUUAUUUAGAUUUCUCAGAAAAGUUCAGCCUCUCCUUUGAAGGCUUUGGUGUUGGCAGCUCCUGCUCCAUCAUCCUCUGCUGAGACUGCUUCGUCCAAACUAGCUGAUGAAGGGACUACGCUUAAAGAGAAAUCUUCAAUCCCAGAAUCUUCAUCACAACCAAUGGAUGAGCCACCUUCUUACCAGGGCGUCAACCCCCCAAACGUCGAAGCGGAAGGUAAUUCAUUUUUUGAUGCAGGUUGCUUGUGCUAUUGGUUUUUGAUUUGUUGCUUUUUGAGUUCUGCAGAUGCUCCCAUGAGUCUGCCCAUUGCGGUAAGUUUUUCUUGCUUAGACAAGGGGAAGUCCUCACAAAUGGUGGAGCCACAGGUGGUAGAUUUGGCUGGGGACAUGCCACCUUCCAAGAUUGCUGAUGAGGUAAUCUUUGCUUCACCUUUACUUUCACUUUGUUUAGUGUAGUGAAAACCUUCAAUGUUGGUAACUUUCUUUGCAGGAUGCUGAUAAAAUUGUGCGUUCCAUCCAAGACUUGUUCACUUCCUGGGUGCAAGUCAAGACAUCUCGCCUUGUUUCAGCCAGUCGUCCUUCUGCUUCUUCAGAAGAAGAUAUGAAAUUCCUCAACCAGUCGAUAUUUGAGUAUGUGUCCUUCAUGGAUAUGGACAUCGGUAAGGUUAGUGCUGCCAAGCAUAAGGAUAAGCUUGAGCAUUUAAAUGCGAAAUUGGAGCAAGCACUGACACUUCCGUCGCUCAAUCUUUCUGCUGAUUUUAAAGCAACGUUGAAAGUUGUCCAUUCCAAGAUCAUCUCCUUGCUGGCCAAAAAUGUUGAACUGAAGGCCAAAAGUACUCAAUAUCUUCGCGUUGUAUCUGAAAAAGAGUCCUUACUUCUGGAGAUCAACAAAGUUGAGGACGAAUUGAAAGAAAUCUCUUCCAAAUUCACGAUUGAAGACUCUUUGAUAACUAGUUUGGCUGUACAGAUGAAGGAGCUUCAAGCCAAGAUGGACGACUGCAAGGCGAGAAUGGCUGCUAAAAAUCGUAAUGCCUCCCAAAGAAUUGAGCGAAUUAAAUCUUUGGUCGAGCAGUACAAGAAGAUAGAAGUUGAUGAUGAUGUUGUGGCUGAAUUGAAUAUCACUUCUUCUCGGCAGAGCGAGGACUGGGGGAGACUUAGGGAAAGAAUUCGUUUGAUAUGGGGCAAAUUGUAAUUAAGACAUAUAAUGUCUUAACUUUUUCUUUUUGUAAUUUCGUAUUGACUUUCCCUUUGUAACCUUGUACUGAUAUCCAUUGCUAAUUUUAAUCAUGACAGCAGCCA
rnacentral:lncRNA from 1 species